AGGAAUGGACAAAACUACCCAAUGAUAAGUCAGCCAAGCCUGUAGCAUCAUAUUCAAGAAGAGCUGAGGCUGUAAGUGCUGCCAAAGGUGCCUCAAAAAAGUAUUGAUCAAAGGCUGUGAAUACUUACGUACAUGUGAUUUUAGUUUUUUU